AGUAACACGUGGAUAACCUACCUAUAAGACUGGGAUAACUUCGGGAAACCGGAGCUAAUACCGGAUGAUAUUUUGAACCGCAUGGUUCAAAAGUGAAAUACGGUCUUGCUGUCACUUAUAGAUGGAUCCGCGCUGCAUUAGCUAGUUGGUAAGGUAACGGCUUACCAAGGCAACGAUGCAUAGCCGACCUGAGAGGGUGAUCGGCCACACUUGAACUGAGACACGGUCCAG
rnacentral:rRNA from 1 species